CAAUAGCGUAUAUUAAAGUUGUUGCAGUUAAAAAGCUCGUAGUUGGAUUUCUGGUGGGAGCGAUCGGUCUGGCGCUUAGCGCGAGUACUUGCAUCGUCUCCGGCCAUCCUUGGGGAGAGUCUGUCUGGCAUUAGGUUGUCGGGCAGAGGAUCCUCAUCGUUUACUGUGAAAAAAUUAGAAUGUUCAAAGCAGGCUUAUGCCGUUGAAUAUAUUAGCAUGGAAUAAUAAGAUAGGACUUUGGUACUAUUUUGUUGGUUUGCGCACCAAAGUAAUGAUUAAUAGGGACAGUUGGGGGUAUUCGUAUUCCGUUGUCAGAGGUGAAAUUCUUGGAUUUACGGAAGACGAACUACUGCGAAAGCAUUUACCAAGGAUGUUUUCAUUAA
rnacentral:rRNA from 1 species